GACGAACGCUGGCGGCGUGCUUAACACAUGCAAGUCGAACGGAAAGGCCCUGCUUUUGUGGGUUGCUCGAGUGGCGAACGGGUGAGUAACACGUGAGUAACCUGCCCUUGACUUUGGGAUAACUUCAGGAAACUGGGGCUAAUACCGGAUAGGAGCUCCUGCUGCAUGGUGGGGGUUGGAAAGUUUCGGCGGUUGGGGAUGGACUCGCGGCUUAUCAGCUUGUUGGUGGGGUAGUGGCUUACCAAGGCUUUGACGGGUAGCCGGCCUGAGAGGGUGACCGGCCACAUUGGGACUGAGAUACGGCCCAGACUCCUACGGGAGGCAGCAGUGGGGAAUAUUGCACAGUGGGCGGAAGCCUGAUGCAGCAACGCCGCGUGCGGGAUGACGGCCUUCGGGUUGUAAACCGCUUUCACCUGUGACGAAGCGUGAGUGACGGUAAUGGGUAAAGAAGCACCGGCUAACUACGUG
rnacentral:rRNA from 1 species